GAUGAACGCCAGCGACAGGCCUAACACAUGCAAGUCGAGGGGCAGCACAUGAGUAGCAAUACGAUGGUGGCGACCGGCGCACGGGUGAGUAUCGCGUAUGCAACCUACCUUCCACAGGGGGAUAGCCUUCCGAAAGGGAGAUUAAUACCGCAUAAAACAGGGGCCCCGCAUGGGGAUAUUUGUUAAAGAUUUAUCGGUGGGAGAUGGGCAUGCGUUCCAUUAGCUAGUUGGCGGGGUAAUGGCCCACCAAGGCAUCGAUGGAUAGGGGAACUGAGAGGUUUAUCCCCCGCACUGGAACUGAGACACGGUCCAGACUCCUACGGGAGGCAGCAGUGAGGAAUAUUGGUCAAUGGGCGGGAGCCUGAACCAGCCAAGUCGCGUGAAGGAAGACGGUUCUAUGGAUUGUAAACUUCUUUUGCACUGGGGUAAAACGGGGGACGUGUCCCCCCUUGCAAGUACAGUGCGAGUAAGCAUCGGCUAACUCCGUGCCAGCAGCCGCCGCCG
rnacentral:rRNA from 1 species